rnacentral:rRNA from 1 species
GUACCUUUUGGUUCGGAACAACACAGGGAAACUUGUGCUAAUACCGGAUAAGCCCUUACGGGGAAAGAUUUAUCGCCGAAAGAUCGGCCCGCGUCUGAUUAGCUAGUUGGUGAGGUAACGGCUCACCAAGGCGACGAUCAGUAGCUGGUCUGAGAGGAUGAUCAGCCACAUUGGGACUGAGACACGGCCCAAACUCCUACGGGAGGCAGCAGUGGGGAAUAUUGGACAAUGGGCGCAAGCCUGAUCCAGCCAUGCCGCGUGAGUGAUGAAGGCCCUAGGGUUGUAAAGCUCUUUUGUGCGGGAAGAUAAUGACGGUACCGCAAGAAUAAGCCCCGGCUAACUUCGUGCCAGCAGCCGCGGUAAUACGAAGGGGGCUAGCGUUGCUCGGAAUCACUGGGCGUAAAGGGUGCGUAGGCGGGUCUUUAAGUCAGAGGUGAAAUCCUGGAGCUCAACUCCAGAACUGCCUUUGAUACUGAGGAUCUUGAGUUCGGGAGAGGUGAGUGGAACUGCGAGUGUAGAGGUGAUAUUCGUAGAUCUUCGCAAGAACACCAGUGGCGAAGGCGGCUCACUGGCCCGAU